rnacentral:rRNA from 1 species
AACCCCUAUCUUUAGUUGCCAUCAGUUCGGCUGGGCACUCUAUGGAGACUGCCACCUAAAGUGGAGGAAGUGGGGAUGACGUCAAGUCAGCAUGGCCCUUACGUCCGGGGCUACACACGUGCUACAAUGGCCGGUACAAAGGGUUGCGAAGCCGUGAGGUGGAGCGAAUCUCAAAAAGCCGGCCUCAGUUCGGAUUGGAGGCUGCAACUCGCCUCCAUGAAGUCGGAAUCGCUAGUAACCGCAGAUCAGCUACGUUGCGGUGAAUACGUUCCCGGGCCUU